rnacentral:rRNA from 1 species
GCCUUACACAUGCAAGUCGAACGGCAGCGGGGGAAAGCUUGCUUUCUGCCGGCGAGUGGCGAACGGGUGAGUAAUACAUCGGAACGUGCCCUGUAGUGGGGGAUAACUAGUCGAAAGAUUAGCUAAUACCGCAUACGACCUGAGGGUGAAAGUGGGGGACCGCAAGGCCUCAUGCUAUAGGAGCGGCCGAUGUCUGAUUAGCUAGUUGGUGGGGUAAAGGCCUACCAAGGCGACGAUCAGUAGCUGGUCUGAGAGGACGAUCAGCCACACUGGGACUGAGACACGGCCCAGACUCCUACGGUAGGCAGCAGUGGGGAAUUUUGGACAAUGGGCGAAAGCCUGAUCCAGCAAUGCCGCGUGUGUGAAGAAGGCCUUCGGGUUGUAAAGCACUUUUGUCCGGAAAGAAAUGGCUCUGGUUAAUACCCGGAGUUGAUGACGGUACCGGAAGAAUAAGGACCGGCUAACUACGUGCCAGCAGCCGCGGUAAUACGUAGGGUCCAAGCGUUAAUCGGAAUUACUGGGCGUAAAGCGCACGCAGGCGGUCUGUCAAGUCGGAUGUGAAAUCCCCGGGCUCAACCUGGGAACUGCAUUCGAAACUGGCAGGCUAGAGUCUUGUAGAGGGGGGUAGAAUUCCAGGUGUAGCGGUGAAAUGCGUAGAGAUCUGGAGGAAUACCGGUGGCGAAGGCGGCCCCCUGGACAAAGACUGACGCUCAGGUGCGAAAGCGUGGGGAGCAAACAGGAUUAGAUACCCUGGUAGUCCA